rnacentral:rRNA from 1 species
UGGGGAAUUUUGCGCAAUGGGCGAAAGCCUGACGCAGCAACGCCGCGUGUGUGAUGAAGGUCUUCGGAUCGUAAAGCACUGUCGCGAGGGACGAGAAGCCUUCUGUUAACAGCGGAGGGAUAAGACGGUACCUCGAGAGGAAGCACCGGCUAACUCUGUGCCAGCAGCCGCGGUAAUACAGAGGGUGCGAGCGUUGUUCGGAAUUAUUGGGCAUAAAACACUUAUAAACAAUCUAUCAAAUCUAAUAUAAAAUCCCUUAACUCAACCAAAAAAAUACACCAAAUACUAACAAACUAAAAUACCAAAAAAAAUCACAAAAUUCCCAAUAUAAAAAUAAAAUUCAUAAAUAUCAAAAAAAACACCAAUAACAAAGACAACAACCUGAACAAACACUGACACUAAGACGCGAAAGCGUGGGGAGCAAACAGG